UAUAACCCUUUGUGACAUACCUAUAACUGUUGCUUCGGCGGGUAGGGUCUCCGCGACCCUCCCGGCCUCCCGCCUCCGGGCGGGUCGGCGCCCGCCGGAGGAUAACCAAACUCUGAUUUAACGACGUUUCUUCUGAGUGGUACAAGCAAAUAAUCAAAACUUUUAACAACGGAUCUCUUGGUUCUGGCAUCGAUGAAGAACGCAGCGAAAUGCGAUAAGUAAUGUGAAUUGCAGAAUUCAGUGAAUCAUCGAAUCUUUGAACGCACAUUGCGCCCGCCAGCAUUCUGGCGGGCAUGCCUGUUCGAGCGUCAUUUCAACCCUCAAGCUCUGCUUGGUGUUGGGGCCCUACAGCUGAUGUAGGCCCUCAAAGGUAGUGGCGGACCCUCCCGGAGCCUCCUUUGCGUAGUAACUUUACGUCUCGCACUGGGAUCCGGAGGGACUCUUGCCGUAAAACCCCCCAAUUUUCCAAAGGUUGACCUCGGAUCAGGUAGGAAUACCCGCUGAACUUAAGCAUAUCAAUAARGGCGGGAGGAAA
rnacentral:rRNA from 1 species